rnacentral:lncRNA from 10 species
CUUCCACACCCCUCACCCCUACUCCACCAUGAACUAGUGGUCUAAGUGGAGGAUAUCAACAAAUAGACUAUUACAGUUCAGUGGGAUAAAUAAAUGAUAGAGUUAUAAAAUUUUUGCUAUUUUAAGUGAAAUGCAUCUGGGUAGCAAUAAAUCUCUUUGGGGCAGAGUCUGCAAAGUGUGACACUGGCUUUAUUUUCUCAUACUGGACACCAGAAUCUUGAUAUUAAGUAGUCUGAGAGAGUGAACCCUGAUUGUAGAGGUUAGGGGGUUUUUGUUUGUUUAUGUGAACAUUUGUCUUUUUCCUUAGGGCUUUGUAAAGAUGGCAAAAUGAUUUGUUGGCAAUAAGUGAGCACACACUAUGUAAUGACAACUAUUUUACAGUCUCCUAUAUGUGUAAAGUAUAUAUCCACAGACAACAAACUGUGAAGGAUAUACAGUGGGUUCUGAUAUCAGUGUCUUCUCUCUCACUAAGGAACAGACAAUGACUCUCAACCAAUGCAGCUACAAAGACAAAAGAUGCCCUUCAAUGCAUCCCACAUGGCCCCUCCCCAUGCCAUCUGCCUUGUCAUGUGCAUACCCGUGCUGAGAUAAGACCUCUAUAGGCCUAAGGCACAGAUAAAUUGUUGACACCCACCCCCUUGUCUAUUCAAACACUACGUAAUUCAAAAUCCAAAUAAUGAUAAUUUCUAAAAGCAGAGUUAAGGAAAUUUCAACAUGACCUCAUUUUUUUUUCUCCUGAUCACUACAGCAAUGUGUUUUUUAACAGCAUUAUUUAGGUAAGAUGAACAUACCGUAAAAUAUAUCCAUUGGGAUUGUACGAUUCAGUGGUUUUUAGUAAAUUCAUGCAGCUAUGAAGCCAUCACUACAAUCCAGUUGCAGAAAAUACCAUCUUCUCUGAAAGCUCCCUCAGGCCCGUUUGCAUCAAUCCCUUCUACCAUUCCACCAAUCCCAUCCCUG